GUGAGGACUGAGGGCGAGGGGCGCGUGGAUGAGGGGCGCGCGGGUGAAGAGUGAGGGGAGCGCGGGUGAAGGGUGAGGGGAGCGUGGGUGAGGGGUGAGGGGUGAGUGAUGCGCGAGUGAAGGGUGAGGGGCGCCUGGGUGAGGGGUGAGGGGUGAGGGGCGCGCCGGUGAAGGGUGAGGGGAGCGUGGGUGAGGGGUGAAGGGUGCGCGAGUGAUGGGCGGGUGUGUGUAGGGUGAGGGACGCGUGGGUGAGGGGCGCGGGGGUGUGAGGCGAGGGGUGCACGGGUAAGGGGCGAGCCGCGAGGUUGAGGGGUCCACGCUGAGGGUUGCUUCCCCGCCAGCCGCGGCCUCUUCUCCACGAUCCCGGCCCCCUGCCCCCUGCCCCCUGCCCGACUGGUUUUAUGGGGGAUCAUAAGGACAGUCACCACCUAACUAGGAGCAAAUCCCCAACAAUCGAGGAAACAGGGCGCUCCUGCCUUGCGCCCCCAGGCUGGCGUUGGAACUUCUUUAGAGCCAGCGCUGCGGAGCCCCAGCACCAGGAACGUAGAGAGGCUGUGGAGGCAUGGGGCAAAUUGUGCCCGCAGCCUGGGGCCUAGAGCUGCAUCUGUGCACGGGGCCUCCAGGAGCCCGGCUCAGUGGACGAAAUCUGGCAUGCUCGGACGUCACCCCACAGGCCUCACGCCUCAGAGGCACCCCGAAAGGUGCUGCGCUUGUCACAUAGCUUCCUGCAAACAAGAGAAGCCGACCAAGCCAUGCACAGCUGGAAAAUGGCCCUUAUAAAGCCAUCAAGUCCUAAUCCAGGCAACCUGUAAAUAUUACCUCGUAUGGGAAAACAAUUUUUUUUUCUAAUGUCAUUAAGGAUCUUGAGAUAGAGAGAUUGUCCUGGAUUAUCCAGGUGGGCCCUAAACACUGUGGCUCACGCCUAUAAUCCCAGCACUUUGGGAGCCUGAGGCAGGUAAAUCUCUUGAGCCCAGGAGUUCGAGACCAGCCUGAGCAACAUGGUGAGACCUCGUCUCUACAAAAGAUAGAAAAAUUAUCUGGGCAUGGUAGUGUGCACCUGUAGUCCCAGCUACUCCUGAGGUGGAAGGAUUGCUUGAGGCCAGGAGGUUGAGGCAGCAGUGAGCCAGGAUCGCACCACUGCACUCUAGCCUCGGUGACAAAGUGAGACCCUAUCUCAAAAAUAAAUACAUACAACAGAGACAGGGUCUCUGUGUUGGCCAGGCUGGUCUUGAACUCCUGGCCUCAAGCGAUCCUCCUGCCUUGGCCUCUCAAAGUGCUGGGAUGACAGGCAUGAGCCAGCGUGCCCGGCCACAUGCAUCUUUGUAAGAGGGAGGCAGAAGGAAAUUUGGUGCCACACAGAAGAGAGGGCCAUGGGAAGAUGGAGCAGAGAUGAAGAUGGGGCCUUGAAAAUUGACGUGAUGCAGUCCCAAGCCAAGUAACGCCGGAGCCACCAGAGGCCCCAGAAACAAGGAGCAGAUUCUCCCCAGGAGCCAUGCGAGGGAGCCUGGCCCUGCCAAUGCCUUGAUUUCAGCACAUUAAAAGUGAUUUUGGACUUUUGGCCUCCAGAGCUGUGAAGGAAUAAACUUCUGCUGUUGUAAAAGCCACUUAGCUGUGGUCAUUUGUUGCAGGAGCCAAUGAGUGACUGACAAGAUCAGAGCUGUGACACAGAGGAAGCAGAGCUGUGCCUCAUGCUUUCCAGGCUCUGCUCAUGAGAAACAGGUCACUGGGUUGGCCCGGUGCAGAUUAAGGUGUCACGUAGGAGCAUGAAUACCUCAGGGAACCACUUAAGAAUUUGCCUAACACAUGGUGCUUAUAAAAGGAAAAGCAAACAAAGCAACCUUGUUCUGAGAGCUGGGACAUCAGAGGAAGAUUGGAGCCACUGUUUCUCACUCAGCCUAUUUCUUUUUAUUUUAUUUAUUUAUUUUAUAGAGACGGGGAGCUCACUAUGUUGGCCAGUUUGGUCUUUGAACUCCUGGCUUCAAAGGAUCCUCUCACCUAGGCCUCCCAAAGUGCUGGGAUUACAGGAGUGAGCCACCUUGCUGGUCGCGCACCCCAUUUUUUAAGGAAACCUGUACGGAAGGUGGAUUGGAAGUCUCACUUUAGGAGCCUGGCUCAGAAGUUCCGCAACUUCAACUGGUGUCAUGUGACGUGCUUGGCAGUCACCACCCCCAUCCUUACAGCAAAGAAUAGCAGGGCAGCCUUUCAUGGGCCCAUCAGAGAACUAAGGCUGCCAGACAAACUGGCACCCUGCUCUGAAGAGACAGGCACAUCCAGGGAGAGACAGCACCUGAGAGCUGCUCACCCAGAGCAGAAACUCCUGGAUAAACUGGCUUUAGCAGAAAAAUUAGACAACAUGCAAGACCAGAUAGGUGAUAUCAGCAGAAAGAUGGAAACAAUAAUAAAAAAAAAAUGCUAGAAGUCAAAAACACAAUAGAAAUAAAGAAUGCUCAUUAGUUGACUAGACAGAAUGAAGGAAAGAAUCAGUGAAUAUGAAGAUAAGUCAACAGAAACUUCCCAAACUGAAAUUCAAGGAGAAAAGGUGAUGAAAAAAAAAAAAAUCAACUGAUCUAGUUUGAGUGUGUGUCCCCACCAAAUCUCAUGUUGAGUUAUAAUCACCAGUUUUGGAGGUGGGGCUUGGCAGGGGGUGUUUGGAUCAUGGGGGCGGGUUCCUCAUGAAUGGCUUGCACCAUCGCUUCAUCCCCUUGUGAUGAGUAAGCUCUCACUCUGAGUUCAUGUGAGAUCUGUUUUUGUUUUUGUUUUUGUUUUGAGACGGAGUCUCGUUCUGUUGCCCAGACUGGAGUGCAGUGGCACAGCACAGUCUCAGCUUACUGCAACCUCCUGGGUUUAAGUGAUUCUUGUGCCUCAGUCUCCCGAGUAGCUGGGAUUACAGGCUUGUGCCACUAUGCCUGGCUAAUUUAUUGUAUUUUUAGUAGAGAUGGGGUUUCACCAUGUUGACCAGGCUGGUCUCAAACUCCUGACCUCUUGAUCCACCCACCUCGGCCUCCCAAAGUGCUGCGAUUAUAGGCAUGAGCCACCGCGCCCGCCUGAGAUCUGUUUUUCUUUAAAGUGUCUGGCACCUACCCACACCCUCACUCUCUCUCUCUCUUGCUCCUGCUUUUACCGUGUGAAAUGCCUGCUCCCACUUUGCCUUCCGCCAUGAGUAAAAGUUCCCUGAGGCCCCCAAGAAGCUGAGCAGAUGCUGGUGCCAUGCUGGUAUGGCCUGCAAGAACUGUGAGCCAAUUAAAUCUCUUCUCUUUAUAAAUUACUCUGUCUCAGGUAUUUCUUUAUAGCAAUGCAAGAACAGCCUAAUACACCAACAGAAAACACCAUCCAAGAACAACAUCAAAGGAUAUGAUUGGUACAAUGGGAGAAUCGGAAGGAGGAAAGAGGAGAAGGGGCAGGAGAAAUGGUGGAAUGGCAAGAAUGUCCCCAAAUUAAUGACAGACACCAAACCAUAGAUCCAGGAAACAUACAGAACAUCCAUCAGGACAAAUAACAAAAAACAUAAAGCAAAACAAAACAAAAAACCACACCUAGGCUUGUCACAUUCAAACUGAAUAAACCUGCCUGACUGAACCCUCGUCCACCAGCCACAGCUACACCUCUGACAAGACAAGAGACAGAUUUCAGUAACUCUCCUGGUAAGAGACCACUGACCAUGGCUGGUCCCGGCUGGUUUACAAACUCUGUGCACCAAGUGCCUUUGAGUCUUAGAAAGACCUUUUGAUGUAUAGGGCCUAACUGUAAUACAUGUAAAUGUUACAUCUCUACCCCAAAGUGAACAUGGGUCAUGUGAUACAUACAGCAAGACCCCCUUCAUGAAUAUUCAUAGCUCCUCAUGUAACCUAUUAAGUAUAUUUAGCCAACCAAGUCAGCAUAAAGCUCGUGCCCCAUCCUCUCCUCCUCUGAAGGGCCUGUGUCUGGUCUUGUGGGAUGUCUAUCUUGCAAGUUAUUUAAGAAAUAGUCUCCUUUUCUAAAUGCAGUGUUGUGUGAUUUUUUAAGUUAACAAGAGGAAUAUGAAUAAAAAUGACCGUGGACUUCUUGUUAGAAAUCAUGCGGAUAACAAAAGGGUAGAGUGAAAUCUUUUUUUUUUUUUUUUUUUGAGACAGAGUCUCGCUCUGUUGUCCAGGCUGGAGUGCAGUGGCGCAAUCUCGGCUCACUACAAGCUCCGCCUCCCGGGUUCACGCCAUUCUCCUGUCUCAGCCUCCCG
rnacentral:lncRNA from 1 species